GGGCUUGUGGUGUAACGGAAACAUACCUGUCUUGCAAACAGGCGAUCGGAGUUCGAUUCUCCGCUGGUCCA
rnacentral:tRNA from 1 species